rnacentral:rRNA from 1 species
AUUGAACGCUGGCGGCAUGCCUUACACAUGCAAGUCGAACGGUAACAGGUCUUCGGAUGCUGACGAGUGGCGAACGGGUGAGUAAUACAUCGGAACGUGCCUAGUAGUGGGGGAUACCUACUCGAAAGAGUGGCUAAUCCCGCAUGAGAUCUACGGACGAAAGCAGGGGAUCGCAAGACCUUGUGCUAAUAGAGCGGCCGAUGGCAGAUUAGGUAGUUGGUGGGAUAAAAGCUUACCAAGCCGACGAUCUGUAGCUGGUCUGAGAGGACGAUCAGCCACACUGGGACUGAGACACGGCCCAGACUCCUACGGGAGGCAGCAGUGGGGAAUUUUGGACAAUGGGCGAAAGCCUGAUCCAGCAAUGCCGCGUGCAGGAUGAAGGCCUUCGGGUUGUAAACUGCUUUUGUACGGAACGAAAAGCCCCGGGUUAAUACCCUGGGGUCAUGACGGUACCGUAAGAAUAAGCACCGGCUAACUACGUGCCAGCCGCCGCGGUAA